UACGUAGGUGACAAGCGUUGUCCGGAUUUACUGGGCGUAAAGAGCGCGCAGGCGGUCGAUCAAGUCGAGUGUGAAAGCCCCCGGCUCAACUGGGGAGGGUCAUUCGAUACUGAUCGACUCGAAGGCAGGAGAGGGUAGUGGAAUUCCCGGUGUAGUGGUGAAAUGCGUAGAUAUCGGGAGGAACACCAGUGGCGAAGGGCGACUACCUGGCCUGUUCUUGACGCUGAGGCGCGAAAGCUAGGGGAGCAAACGGGG
rnacentral:rRNA from 1 species